rnacentral:rRNA from 1 species
GAUGAACGCUGGCGGCGUGCCUAGUACAUGCAAGUCGAGCGAACAGAUGAGGAGCUUGCUCCUCUGACGUUAGCGGCGGACGGGUGAGUAACACGUGGAUAACCUACCUAUAAGACUGGGAUAACUUCGGGAAACCGGAGCUAAUACCGGAUAAUAUAUUGAACCGCAUGGUUCAAUAGUUAAAGACGGUUUUGCUGUCACUUAUAGAUGGAUCCGCGCCGCAUUAGCUAGUUGGUAAGGUAACGGCUUACCAAGGCAACGAUGCGUAGCCGACCUGAGAGGGUGAUCGGCCACACUGGAACUGAGACACGGUCCAGACUCCUACGGGAGGCAGCAGUAGGGAAUCUUCCGCGAUGGGCGAAAGCCUGACGGAGCAACGCCGCGUGAGUGAUGAAGGUCUUCGGAUCGUAAAACUCUGUUAUUAGGGAAGAACAAAUGUGUUAGUAACUAUGCACGUCUUGACGGUACCUAAUCAGAAAGCCACGGCUAACUACGUG